rnacentral:rRNA from 1 species
AUGUUUUUUCAGGGAGCUUAUGGUCUUUGGCUGGCUAGGAAUGCUACGAGGGAUGGCGUCUGGAUCCAAGAUGCGAUUGAGGUUGCUGCCUCGGUCUCCCGCUUCAUGGACAAGUGGAGUAAUGCGGUGCCAAAGAAGCUUCGGCAUCCUCAGCGCCUCCUGUGGACAAGUGGUGUCCGCCGGAGCAAGGGUGGACCAAGGCGAACGUGGACGGAGCGGUGGGCAGGAGCUCGGGUGAUGGAGGUGGCGGGGUUGUCUUUCGCGACCACGCAGGAGCCUUUCGUGGUGCCCUCGCUCAUCUCUUUCCUCAAGUGA